rnacentral:rRNA from 1 species
CCUUCGGGCGCUGACGAGUGGCGGACGGGUGAGUAAUGCUUGGGAAUCUGGCUUAUGGAGGGGGAUAACUACUGGGAAAACGGGUAAGCUAAAUAACCCGGCGGUAAAUCUCUUAGGAGUAAAGGGUGGGACUUUCGGGCCACCUGCCAUAAGAUGAGCCCAAGUGGGAUUAGGUAGUUGGUGGGGUAAAGGCCUACCAAGCCGACGAUCUCUAGCUGGUCUGAGAGGAUGGCCAGCCACACUGGAACUGAGACACGGUCCAGACUCCUACGGGAGGCAGCAGUGGGGAAUAUUGCACAAUGGGGGGAACCCUGAUGCAGCCAUGCCGCGUGAAUGAAGAAGGCCUUCGGGUUGUAAAGUUCUUUCGGUGAUGAGGAAGGCAGGCUUGUUAAUAGCAAGUUUGAUUGACGUUAGUCACAGAAGAAGCACACGGCUAACUCCGUGCCAGCAGCCGCGGUAAUACGGGAGGGUGGGAGCGUUAAUUCGGGAAAUAAACUGGGGCGUAAAAGGGCACGCAGGCGGAUUGUUAAGUGAGAUGUGAAAGCCCCGAGCUCAACUUGGGAAUUGCAUUUCAGACUGGCAGUCUAGAGUAUUUUAGGGAGGGGUAGAAUUCCACGUGUAGCGGUGAAAUGCGUAGAGAUGUGGAGGAAUACCGAAGGCGAAGGCAGCCCCUUGGGAAUAUACUGACGCUCAUGUGCGAAAGCGUGGGGAGCAAACAGGAUUAGUAUACCCUGUAGUCCACCCCGUAAACGAUGUCGACUUGGAGGUUGUGCCCUUGAGGCGUGGCUUCCGGAGCUAACGCGUUAAGUCGACCGCCUGGGGAGUACGGCCGCAAGGUUAAAACUCAAAUGAAUUGACGGGGGCCCGCACAAGCCGGUUGGAGCAUUUGGUUUUAAAUUUCGAUGCAACGCGAAAGAACCCUUACCUGGCCUUGACAUCCAUAGAAUCA